rnacentral:rRNA from 1 species
CCUUGAGUGGCGCACGGGUGCGUAACGCGUAACCAACCUACCUACAUCUGGGGGAUAGCCCGCCGAAAGGCGGAUUAAUACCGCAUAAACCAGCAGAGCGGCAUCGCUUAACUGGUAAAGAUUUAUUGGAUGUAGAUGGGGUUGCGUGCCAUUAGCUAGUUGGCGGGGUAACGGCCCACCAAGGCGACGAUGGCUAGGGGACCUGAGAGGGUGAUCCCCCACACUGGCACUGAGAUACGGGCCAGACUCCUACGGGAGGCAGCAGUAGGGAAUAUUGGGCAAUGGGCGAGAGCCUGACCCAGCCAUGCCGCGUGCCGGAUGAAGGCCUUCUGGGUUGUAAACGGCUUUUCUCAGGGAAGAAAAAGAGGAUGCGUCCUAAACUGACGGUACCUGAGGAAUAAGCACCGGCUAACUCCGUGCCAGCAGCCGCGGUAAUACGGAGGGUGCAAGCGUUGUCCGGAUUUAUUGGGUUUAAAGGGUGCGUAGGUGGCCCGUUAAGUCCGGGGUGAAAGCCCACUGCUCAACAGUGGAACUGCCCUGGAUACUGACGGGCUUGAGUCCAGACGAGGUUGGCGGAAUGGAUGGUGUAGCGGUGAAAUGCAUAGAUACCAUCCAGAACCCCGAUUGCGUAGGCAGCUGACUAGGCUGGUACUGACACUGAGGCACGAAAGCGUGGGGAGCGAACAGGAUUAGAUACCCUGGUAGUCCACGCCGUAAACGAUGGAUACUCGUUGCUAGCGAUACACAGUUAGUGACUUAGCGAAAGCGUUA